rnacentral:lncRNA from 1 species
UGUUGCCCAAGGUGACAAGCCAAGAGGGGGGGGGGGUGAAUUGGUUUCUUCUAAAUUUUGGUGCUUUAAAUGUUUUCUUAAUUAAGUGCGGUGGAUGCUUCCUUAAACUAUUUGAAUGAUUUAAACUAGUGCAAAGAUAGAAGAUGAUGCAAGAAUAAACGUAAGCACAAGCACAACACAAACACAACAAUAUAUAGUGGUUCGGUGCUCUCCUUAGCACCUACGUCCACUCCCCAAGCGUCCCCUUGGAAAUUCACUAUAAUCCCGCGGAUUACAGUUGGAUUGUUUUCCGGGCUCACAAUCCAAAAACCUUUGUUGGUUUUACGGGCUCACCAACGAACCUAUACACUUGGUUUUCCGGGUUCACCAAAAACCUUUGUUGGUUUUGCGGGCUCACC